rnacentral:lncRNA from 1 species
CUGUGAGCUGACUCCGACAGGAUUAGGACUCUUUUCUUCGCUUUUCAGGUUUGCCUCAAUACCGUGGUGCCCAGAGGACCCCUGGAAAUGAGAGCAGGAGUGAUGGCAAAGGUGCUGAGUCAGCAGCUCUGUGGCACCCGUGACCCUGAGGGUGAUCCUGGCUACCCACCUCAUGUCUACGCAGAGGAGGGCGAGUGUGAGCAAGCAGACAGCCUCAGCUCUCUCACCUUCUCUGAACAUGACCUACCACCCGACGUGCUGGACUCUUUGGGGCCAAAGGCUGCUCCACUAGAAGAAAUAUAUUCUCAGUCAGCCUUUCGUUCCUAAAAAAUGCAUAUUUUGGUGAAUUGGAAUAAUUCACAAGGGGAAAUCACUAUUCUAGAAUGCCUUUUUCCUUUUGUUUUUUAAAAAUUACCUUCUAGUUUUUUUUUUUAAUUUCUUCUAAGUCCUUGUUAAACCUUUCUUGCAUCUUCUCAAUCCUUGUCUCCAGAGUUUCAUCUACUAAAAAAAAAAAAAUAUUACCUUCUAGUUCUAACAGAAUGAGGGUAAACUGAGUCUGGAUUAAAUGAUUCGACAUUCUGGGACCUCUUGAACCAAAACAAAACAGCAGGUCAUACUUUUUAAAAAAUUUGUCAGGCAUAUUUUCUAGAGAAAUUUGAAUUUAAUUGUGUAAUUCCUUGCUUCCAUGAGCAGCCCAACUCCGAGACUAAAUGAAAUAUAAUCCACAGAUUACCCCAAUUAUUUGAGAACAACAGAUAAUGCUGGGGAAAACAACAGGUAAAACUGGGAAAAGAUUUUUAAGUGCUUACUUAAAUUUCUUUAUUAUGGUUCUGCUUCAGUUUAAGUGAAAAACAAUAGGGUAAUAUUUUGUAGAAUAUUUGCAAUUAGUAUUUUUAGUGAUUUUUAAAAAUAUAUUAGUCCCAUUGCACUUUUUGAGUAGAUAAAUAGAUAAAAUUUAUUACCAUAAGAGAAAUAAUUAAAACUUAAAACUUUAUGAGUGGUAAAUAUUUAAAAAAACUGACAUAAUUUAACUUGCAUAUACUAUGUAAAUAUAUUAAAAUAACUUAGGAGCCUUUGAGUGACUCAAUUCUGAUUAAAUUCUAUUUUUAUACAACAUCACAAACUUUAAUUGAUUUUUACAUGUCCACUUAUCACUAGUGUAAACUGUGGGGGAGGUGAUAGUGUCCUUUAUCUAAAAAAAAAAAAAAAGUAAAUAGUAGGACAUGUGUCUUGUAUAGACUGUUUUCUUGGCUGUGUAAUAUAUAAGAAACUGGUUAAGCAAAAUUUUAAAAGAUACCAGGGCACUUUAAUGUAUAUAUUAGAUAUCUAAAAGCCUAUGGCAAAUUCUAAAAAACAUUAUAUAAUUAAUGAGCAUACUCUUUUGUGCACAUCCUCCUGAAUUCGAGUCCAACUCUUUGUGAUCCUAUGAACUGUAACCCACCAGGCUCCUCUGUCCAUGGGAUUUCCCAGGCAAGAAUACUGGCAUGGGUUUCCAUGACUUCUUCCAGGGGAUCUUCCUGAGCCAGAGAUCAAACCUGUGUCUCUUACAUCUCCAGCACUGGCUGGCAAGUUCUUUAACACUAGUGCCACCUGGGAAGCCCCAAGUUUUAGCUGAUGCAGAGUUAAAACUUUUCUUUCUAAAGAAGCUGUGGAAAUACUGAAAGAGAUCACAAGAAUUAGUACAUAGUCAUUUCAUGUGUCACCUAGUGCAUUGGGUAACUGAAAAAGAAGAAAACCAUCUCCAAAGGAUUGGAAAGUCUAAAACUGGCUCACAGUUGUGUAGAAUAGCUGUGCUAAUUCUGGAAUGAUUCUGAGGAGAGCCUACGAUGUUUUCUGGGGAAUUCAGGAUUCCCAUCUUAGUCCUAUCUUAGAACGGUAUACUUCUUGAGUCUGAAUGAUUGGUGAGGGUCAGUAGGAAGUCAUUGGACACUCCUGGAUCUGAGGCAAGGGACAGAAAACUAUGGCCAUGGGGAACAUCUGGCCCACCAUCUGUUUUUGUAAAUAAAGCUUUAUUGGUACACA